rnacentral:rRNA from 1 species
GAUCAUGGCUCAGGAUGAACGCUAGCUACAGGCUUAACACAUGCAAGUCGAGGGGCAGCAUGAACUUAGCUUGCUAAGUUUGAUGGCGACCGGCGCACGGGUGAGUAACACGUAUCCAACCUUCCCGUUACUCUGGGAUAGCCUUUCGAAAGAAAGAUUAAUACCGGAUAGUAUCGAGAGAUUGCAUGAUAACCCGAUUAAAGAUUUAUCGGUACGGAUGGGGAUGGCUUCCAUUAGAUAGG